rnacentral:rRNA from 1 species
AACGAACGCUGGCGGCAUGCCUAACACAUGCAAGUCGAACGAGACCUUCGGGUCUAGUGGCGCACGGGUGCGUAACGCGUGGGAACCUGCCCUUAGGUUCGGAAUAACUCCCCGAAAGGGGUGCUAAUACCGGAUAAGGUCUUCGGACCAAAGAUUUAUCGCCUUUGGAUGGGCCCGCGUUGGAUUAGCUAGUUGGUAGGGUAAAAGCCUACCAAGGCGACGAUCCAUAGCUGGUCUGAGAGGAUGAUUAGCCACACUGGGACUGAGACACGGGCCAGACUCCUACGGGAGGCAGCAGUGGGGAAUAUUGGACAAUGGGCGAAAGCCUGAUCCAGCAAUGCCGCGUGAGUGAUGAAGGCCUUAGGGUUGUAAAGCUCUUUUACCCGGGAUGAUAAUGACAGUACCGGGAGAAUAAGCUCCGGCUAACUCCGUG